rnacentral:rRNA from 1 species
AUGAUGCCUUUUGUUAAAGCCUUCAGCUCUAUGGAUCAUGUACGGGCAUUCCUAAAUUCUCGGAAUCUUGUUGAUGAACUGUUGAGUUUAGAGAUGGAGAUGGGUAAUUUCCUAGAAGCUGCAAGAAUAGCAAAGCAUAAUGGAGAUGUCUUACUGGAGGUAGACAUGCUCGAGAAGGCAGGCUUGUUUGAGGAUGUGACAUGGCUUCUCCUCCAUAUCAUUGUGGAUUCCUUGUGGUCUUCAAAUAGUAGAGGGUGGCCUGAGAUAUGUAGAGAAGGAACAAUUGCUUUCAAAAGCAAAAGAGAUGACAGAAAAGGUCUCUGA